GACGAACGCUGGCGGCGUGCUUAACACAUGCAAGUCGAACGGAAAGGCCCUGCUUGCAGGGUACUCGAGUGGCGAACGGGUGAGUAACACGUGGGUGAUCUGCCCUGCACUUCGGGAUAAGCCUGGGAAACUGGGUCUAAUACCGGAUAGGAGCCAUUUUUAGUGUGAUGGUUGGAAAGUUUUUUCGGUGUAGGAUGAGCUCGCGACCUAUCAGCUUGUUGGUGGGGUAAUGGCCUACCAAGGCGGCGACGGGUAGCCGGCCGGAGAGGGUGGACGGCCACAUUGGGACUGAGAUACGGCCCAGACUCCUACGGGAGGCAGCAGUGGGGAAUAUUGCACAAUGGGCGCAAGCCUGAUGCAGCGACGCCGCGUGGGGGAUGACGGCCUUCGGGUUGGAAACUCCUUUCGCUAGGGACGAAGCUUUUUGUGACGGUACCUAGAUAAGAAGCACCGGCUAACUACGUG
rnacentral:rRNA from 1 species